rnacentral:ribozyme from 1 species
GCUGCUCGAAAGUUUGCACACCUCUACGUGGUGAGCAGCAGGCAAAACACAGUGGUGUGGCUAAGAAUGCAAAG